rnacentral:lncRNA from 1 species
GGAACUAGCGACGGAUGCACAAUCUAACAUAAAUUAUUACAUAUAUUAGAAUGAUGAUUAGAUCAUUCAAAAAAAUCAUUAAUUAAAACAAAAAUUUAAUUAAAUUAUACUUACUGCAUCCUUCGGGGGGUUGAAGAGAUCAAGAAAUUUUAUAUUUUUAUCAGUUUUGGCCAACAACCAUCUCAAGAUUCUUAGACAGAAAACUUCUUCCUGGUAGUUAAUUUGUCUCAAAUAAGGAAUGGCUUCAAACGCCCAAUCCUAUAAAAUAACCAAUAAAUCAAAACCAUUAUUGAGUAAAAAAAAAUGAAUGAUAUCAUAAUAAAAGAAAGAAAAAUUUACCAUGAAAGGCCAUGGAAAGCCAUAUAAGUUGACUGUCUUUGGCGCUAACAGAGUCAACAAAUAUUUGACAGUCAUUUUGAAGUUUUCAAACCCCAAAGAUAGUUGUUAAACGUUUCAAGAUCCUCGGAGAGCUUUAUUAAACCGACGCUUAUGUUGUUGUUAACAUUUCUCGCCCAAAGAAUAUUAUGUACAAAUCAAACUAAGCACAAUGAUUUUUUGUGCUUCUUUGAAAGUCCUUUAUCUUUCAACGCUUCUAUCAAAUUUUUGUUUUUGAAACUUAGACCAACAAUGGACACCAGGUCAUCACGAUCACACGACUUGUCUUUGCCUUUUUGGGUGUGCGGGGCAUUUCUUUUAGGUUAGAAUAGGUAUAACUUGAGAAUCAGGAUAACAUUUUAGUCCAGUAACUAUGGCAAACUCCUUCCAACCAAAACAAACAGACAUGCCACGGUAACUAUCCACACCUCAUCCAUCUUAUUUUUGUUUUCAUACAUAAGCCUAUGCUUGAGAAAUUCAUAUACCAUUUUUAUUAUAAACCGAGUGUUGUUGUCCUCCGGCAAAUCAAGAUAUUUACCAAAGCAGCUGGCCCUAAAAUAAGCAUCUUAUUUUUGUUCACGAAGUAUUUUUCUGAAGGUGUCAAAAUAUUUUCCCAUGGCUAACUUAACCACGAAAUUACCCGAUAAAUCUAUGAUACCAUCGCAGUGCAUUCUCACAGGAUAACAAUCAAUGCUGAAGAAUUUGAUCAACUCUUC